GACGAACGCUGGCGGCAUGCCUAAUACAUGCAAGUCGAGCGAACAGAUGAAGUGCUUGCACUUCUGACGUUAGCGGCGAACGGGUGAGUAACACGUAAGGAAUCUACCUAUAAGCGGGGGAUAACAUUUGGAAACGGGUGCUAAUACCGCUUAAUAUCUUCUUCCGCAUGGAAGAAGAUUGAAAGACGGCUCUGCUGUCACUUAUAGAUGACCUUGCGGGGCAUUAGUUAGUUGGUGGGGUAACGGCCUACCAAGACGAUGAUGCAUAGCCGACCUGAGAGGGUGAUCGGCCACAUUAGGACUGAGAUACGGCCCAAACUCCUAAGGGAGGCAGCAGUAGGGAAUCUUCCGCAAUGGGCGAAAGCCUGACGGAGCAAUGCCGCGUGAGUGAAGAAGGCCUUCGGGUCGUAAAACUCUGUUAUAAGAGAAGAACAAAUUGUAGAGUAACUGCUACAGUCUUGACGGUAUCUUAUCAGAAAGCCACGGCUAACUACGUGCCAGCAGCCGCGGUAA
rnacentral:rRNA from 1 species